UUUAUUUAUUUUAAGCAAACUUUACAGCAUUUCUAUUCGACAGAUUAAUUCUAUAAACUGUACACAUAUAUUGCCUUUAACAAAGUUUGGCAGAUUAAAUUAUAAUGAAAUAAUAACGCUGGCAAAUAAAUGAUUAUCACGUUGACGGUCGUUAAUGUAACAUAAAACCGUAAUGAGGUGUGGAUUUGCCGCGGUCAUGCUGAGUUAAGCCCGUCACCAAUAUCUGAAUCUGAGAUCACAUCUGAAGGAUACAAGUUCGGACAUGGACACCUUGUAUAUUCUCGUUCUGAUCGUCCUCCAACAAGCUAUCUCGCAUCUUUGUUCCGAUCUC